rfam:Schistosoma mansoni, Puerto Rico, WGS project CABG01000000 data, contig: 0076
GCACUGCUGAGGAGUCCCAUAAUAGGACGCAACGGUCGUCCAGUGC